ACAAAGAAGACAAGAAGAGAAAAUGCAAGGGAGUCUGGGUCAAUUAAUUGCCUACCAGAGCACUGCCCUAUGUAUUUCAAGCAGGGAAAACGGAAGAGGGCUGACUGGUUUACUCUCAUGUAUUUCCUAUUCUGUCUGGUUGGCUUGCUGCUUAAAAAUCAGAAUACAGAAGAGAAGACAGUCUUGUGGAGGGUCAAAGGAGCCACUGUUUGUAGUUAUUUGGGAUCUUUGAGGAAACCCCUGCUAAAAUAACUUGAUUGGAGAUUUUCCUUAGUCUGGACCAAACCUUCCCAUUAUUGGACACAGAUGGUCAGCUAGUAAUCAAUCAUCUAUAAUUAUGCUUUGGAAAAACCUCAUGAGCAAAGACCCUCGACUUGUAGUCAAAGCUACAAUUUAUGUCAAGCAGCUCCAUUAGAUGUCUCAUUUCCCAGCCAUCAGGAGGAGGAAAGAGGGAAUGAAGAACAAGCUUCUUCCUGUGGGUGUGACCCAGAGGUUGUUCGUGUCACUUCUAUUCACAUUUGCUUGUGUAGAACUUACACAAUCAUACUUAACUUCAAGAAAGAUUGGGCAACAUAGUUUAUAGCGGGGAGGAUUUAUGCCCUGAAAUUGAUGGUGUCAUCUUUUCAUCUUCCCUCUCUCACCAUUAGCAUGUAAUCUGUAACUGAAUUUGAACAAUCCAACUUCCAAAUGAUUUCCAUUUUUCUCCAUAUUCCUAACAACACUUUAGUCUAAAGCGUCCUCAUCCUUGCCUAGUUUACUACAAUAACCUAAUUGGUCAGCGUGCUUCCAUUCUUGCCCCACCAAGUCAUUUCUGACACCGUGGCCGCUAAUUCUUAAGAAUAGAAACCAAAUCAUCACUCUUCUUUAAGGCCUUUAGUGUCUAUUUCCAUAGAAUAAAAUCCAUACCCUGCACCAUGAGCCGUAAGACCUGGCAAUGACCUGGCUCUAGUGUACCCAGUGCUAUCCUUGCACCAUGCUUUCCACCAGUCACUAUGUUCUGGCUUCUCUGGCCUCCACCUUUUUCUAGAACACAUUGAUCCUUUCCCCACCUCAGGCCCUUAUCCCUGCUAUUCUUCAUCCUGUAAAACUUUUGCUGGGAUCUCCGCGUGGCUGGCUCGCCCUCAUCUCUUGGCACUCAGCACAAAUGUCAUCUAUUUUGAGAAUCUUUCCUGACUGCCCUUUGUAAAGCAGCAUGUCUUGUUCCCAGUGACUCUUUAUUGCAUUACUUUAUUUAUUUUCUUCAUAGCAUUUAUUAAAUUAUAUAAUAAUCCUGUU
rnacentral:lncRNA from 1 species